rnacentral:lncRNA from 1 species
CGUCCUGCUCGGCGGCGCCCGACGCCCUCCGGGGCCGGAGCUGCCCCGGCUGCCCCGGGCCCUGCUCCCUUGGGGAGGGGGGACGGGCCCUGGCGGCCAGCACCGGCCCGGACCGGCCGGGAUCCGCCCCGUCGGCAGGCCCCGGCCCCCGCGGCGUCGGCACCGGCACCCGGUAGCAGUGGGUUAGCGAGGUGCGCUGAGAAUUUUGACUUAACCAUAAGGUGGAUGGAAAGUGAUACGUUGUUACGGAAACCAGGAGACUGAAGAGUGCUAGUUCAUAAGGCUGACAAGGAACUGAGAAUGGAACUCUGCUAUAAGCAAGAUACCGCCUCA